rnacentral:rRNA from 1 species
UUUUUGUAUGUACCGUAUGAAUAAGGAUCGGCUAACUCCGUGCCAGCAGCCGCGGUAAUACGGAGGAUCCGAGCGUUAUCCGGAUUUAUUGGGUUUAAAGGGAGCGUAGGCGGGUUGUUAAGUCAGUUGUGAAAGUUUGCGGCUCAACCGUAAAAUUGCAGUUGAUACUGGCGACCUUGAGUGCAACAGAGGUAGGCGGAAUUCGUGGUGUAGCGGUGAAAUGCUUAGAUAUCACGAAGAACUCCGAUUGCGAAGGCAGCUUACUGGAUUGUAACUGACGCUGAUGCUCGAAAGUGUGGGUAUCAAACAGGAUUAGAUACCCUGGUAGUCCACACAGUAAACGAUGAAUACUCGCUGUUGGCGAUAUACGGUCAGCGGCCAAGCGAAAGCAUUAAGUAUUCCACCUGGGGAGUACGCCGGCAACGGUGAAACUCAAAGGAAUUGACGGGGGCCCGCACAAGCGGAGGAACAUGUGGUUUAAUUCGAUGAUACGCGAGGAACCUUACCCGGGCUUAAAUUGCAACUGACUGAACCGGAAACGGUUCUUUCUUCGGACAGUUGUGAAGGUGCUGCAUGGUUGUCGUCAGCUCGUGCCGUGAGGUGUCGGCUUAAGUGCCAUAACGAGCGCAACCCUUAUCGAUAGUUACUAGCAGGUCAUGCUGAGGACUCUAUUGAGACUGCCGUCGUAAGAUGUGAGGAAGGUGGGGAUGACGUCAAAUCAGCACGGCCCUUACGUCCGGGGCUACACACGUGUUACAAUGGGGGGUACAGAAGGCAGCUACACGGCGACGUGGUGCUAAUCCCUAAAGCCUCUCUCAGUUCGGAUUGGAGUCUGCAACCCGACUCCAUGAAGCUGGAUUCGCUAGUAAUCGCGCAUCAGCCACGGCGCGGUGAAUACGUUCCCGGGCCUUGUACACACCGCCCGUCAAGCCAUGAAAGCCGGGGGUACCUGAAGUACGUAACCGCGAGGAGCGUCCUAGGGUAAAACUGGUGAUUGGGGCUAAGUCGUAACAAGGUAGCCGUACCGGAAGGUGCGGCUG